rnacentral:rRNA from 1 species
AUUGAACGCUGGCGGCAUGCUUUACACAUGCAAGUCGAACGAGUGGCGAACGGGUGAGAAAUAUAUCGGAACGUACCGAGUAAUGGGGGAUAACCAAUCGAAAGAUUGGCUAAUACCUCAUAUAAUUCGAGGGGCCGAUAACUGAUGAGCUAGUUGGUGGGGUAAAGGCCUACCAAGGCGACGAUCAGUAGCGGGUCUGAGAGGACGAUACGCCACACUGAGACUGAGACACGGCCCAGACUCCGACGGGAGGCAGCAGUGGGGAAUGUUGGACAAUGGGGGAAAACCUGAUCCAGCCAUGCGGCGUGUAUGAAGAAGGCCGUCGGGUUGUAAAGUACGUUUGUUAGGGAAGCGGUACCUAAAGAAUAAGCGCCGGCUAACUACGUGCCAGCAGCCGCGGUAAGAC